GACGAACGCCGGCGGCGUGCUUAACACAUGCAAGUCGAACGGAAAGGCCCUGCUUUUGUGGGGCGCUCGAGUGGCGAACGGGUGAGUAACACGUGAGUAACCUGCCCUUGACUUUGGGAUAACUUCAGGAAACUGGGGCUAAUACCGGAUAGGAGCUCCUGCUGCAUGGUGGGGGUUGGAAAGUUUCGGCGGUUGGGGAUGGACUCGCGGCUUAUCAGCUUGUUGGUGGGGUAGUGGCUUACCAAGGCUUUGACGGGUAGCCGGCCUGAGAGGGUGACCGGCCACAUUGGGACUGAGAUACGGCCCAGACUCCUACGGGAGGCAGCAGUGGGGAAUAUUGCACAAUGGGCGGAAGCCUGAUGCAGCAACGCCGCGUGCGGGAUGACGGCCUUCGGGUUGUAAACCGCUUUCGCCUGUGACGAAGCGUGAGUGACGGUAAUGGGUAAAGAAGCACCGGCUAACUACGUGCCAGCAGCCGCGGUGAUACGUAGGGUGCGAGCGUUGUCCGGAUUUAUUGGGCGUAAAAGGGCUCGUAGGUGGUUGAUCGCGUCGGAAGUGUAAUCUUGGGGCUUAACCCUGAGCGUGCUUUCAAUACAGGGUUGACUUGAGGAAGGGAGGGGAGAAUGGAAUUCCUGGUGGAGCGGUGGAAUGCGCAGAUAUCAGGAGGAACACCAGUGGCGAAGGCGGUUCUCUGGGCCUUUCCUGACGCUGAGGAGCGAAAGCGUGGGGAGCGAACAGGCUUAGAUACCCUGGUAGUCCACGCUGUAAACGGUGGGUACUAGGUGUGGGGUCCAUUCCACGGGUUCCGUGCCGUAGCUAACGCUUUAAGUACCCCGCCUGGGGAGUACGGCCGCAAGGCUAAAACUCAGAGGAAUUGACGGGGCCCCGCACAAGCGGCGGAGCAUGCGGAUUAAUUCGAUGCAACGCGCAGAACCUUACCUGGGUUUGACAUGGAUCGGGAGUGCUCAGAGAUGGGUGUGCCUCUUUUGGGGUCGGUUCACAGGUGGUGCAUGGCUGUCGUCAGCUCGUGUCGUGAGAUGUUGGGUUAAGUCCCGCAACGAGCGCAACCCUUGUUCACUGUUGCCAGCACGUUAUGGUGGGGACUCAGUGGAGACCGCCGGGGUCAACUCGGAGGAAGGUGGGGAUGACGUCAAGUCAUCAUGCCCCUUAUGUCCAGGGCUUCACGCAUGCUACAAUGGCUGGUACAGAGAGUGGCGAGCCUGUGAGGGUGAGCGAAUCUCGGAAAGCCGGUCUCAGUUCGGAUUGGGGUCUGCAACUCGACCUCAUGAAGUCGGAGUCGCUAGUAAUCGCAGAUCAGCAACGCUGCGGUGAAUACGUUCCCGGG
rnacentral:rRNA from 1 species